rnacentral:rRNA from 1 species
GCUAAGUGUUAGGSGGUUCGAACUUAGUGCUGCAGCUAACGCAUUAAGCACUCCGCCUGGGGAGUACGGUCGCAAGACUGAAACUCAAGGGAAUUGACGGGGGCCCGCACAAGCGGUGGAGCAUGUGGUUUAAUUCGAAGCAACGCGAAGAACCUUACCAGGUCUUGACAUCCUCUGACAAUCCUAGAGAUAGGACGUCCCCUCGGGGGCAGAGUGACAGGUGGUGCAUGGUUGUCGUCAGCUCGUGUCGUGAGAUGUU